rnacentral:misc_RNA from 1 species
CCAAUAGCGUAUAUUAAAGUUGCUGCAGUUAAAAAGCUCGUAGUUGAAUUUCGGGACUAAUAUGUCGGUCGUGCCUCGGUACGUACUGGUAUUUUUGGUUUCUCCCUUCUGACGAACCUUGAUGUCAUUAAUUUGGUGUCUUGGGAAAUCAGGACUGUUACUUUGAAAAAAUUAGAGUGUUUAAAGCAGGCUCACGCUUGAAUAAAUUAGCAUGGAAUAAUGAAAUAGGACUGUUGAUUCUAUUUUGUUGGUUUCUAGGAUCGAAGUAAUGAUUAAUAGGGAUAGUUGGGGGCAUUAGUAUUCAAUUGUCAGAGGUGAAAUUCUUGGAUUUAUUGAAGACUAACUACUGCGAAAGCAUUUGCCAAGGAUGUUUUCAUUAAUCAAGAGCGAAAGUUAGGGGAUCGAAGACGAUCAGAUACCGUCGUAGUCUUAACCAUAAACUAUGCCGACUAGGGAUCGGAUGAUGUUAAUUUUUUAAUGACUCAUUCGGCGCCUUACG